CUUUUUAACUCAAUCGGUAUGUUAAAGUCAAGCCUUGGUUUUGUAUGAUAUAUGUUCUCAUUGGAGUAUGUCAACCGGAUUGCUAACUCUAAAUGGGAAGUCAAGGAGCUUGGAGUGGAGCAUAAUGGGUAUGUUGAUUUGAUCCUUGGGGAAUUCAAACACUACAAACACAAGGCUUGCUCACGGAGGCAUUCCACAGGAGGUUCAAAACCUCCUGCUGGAAUAUGGAAUUGAAAUAUUCGCGGAAACGCUGGUGGAAGGUCUAUCUAGAAUAAAAAUAUGCACCGAUGAAGGACGAUCUCUCAUGUCUUUAGAUAUUCAGGUACUUUCCCUCUUUGUUUGCUUUGUUAUCCAGUGUAGUUUCUUAUACACGACAUCAAGAAUGGACACGAAAGAAUGAAAGUAUCAGUUAACAUUGACAGACAUUCUGAUAUAGAAAAUAUUAAAUACACAGCACAUCUAGAAAGGUGGUCAUGAUAGGACAAACCUUUACUCUUUGUUGAUGAGAUAAAAGUAAAACACAAACAAUUGAUAAAUUUCAUGACAUGUCAUUGAUAGAUUGAUACGAUUAGGUUUUUACGG